AUUGAACGCUGGCGGCAGGCCUAACAUAUGCAAGUCGAGCGAAUGAGUGGAGCUUGCUUCACGAUUCAGCGGCGGACGGGUGAGUAAUGCCUAGGAAUCUGCCUGGUAGUGGGGGACAACGUUUCGAAAGGAACGCUAAUACCGCAUACGUCCUACGGGAGAAAGCAGGGGACCUUCGGGCCUUGCGCUAUCAGAUGAGCCUAGGUCGGAUUAGCUUGUUGGUGAGGUAAUGGCUCACCAAGGCGACGAUCCGUAACUGGUCUGAGAGGAUGAUCAGUCACACUGGAACUGAAGAACGGUCCAGACUCCUACGGGAGGCAGCAGUGGGGAAUAUUGGGCAAUGGGCGAAAGCCUGAUCCAGCCAUGCCGCGUGUGUGAAGAAGGUCUUCGGAUUGUAAGGCACUUUAAGUUGGGAGGAAGGGCAGUCAGCGAAUACCUGAUUGUUUUGACGUUACCGACAGAAUAAGCACCGGCUAACUCUGUGCCAGCAGCCGCCGUAAUAC
rnacentral:rRNA from 1 species